CUGAGUUGGGUUAGAACCACAGCAAGGUUGCUUAAAGCUCUGUCCAUCUGGAUUCAGGCUGACUUGCCCAGCCACUUGAAAAGAGGCUGAACUUGAAAGGAGGCCACUUGAGAGGGAGUUCCCAAGAGCACCCUGGAAGGGCUUAGCAGGGAGGGGAGGAGAGAAUUGUCUCAAUUAUGACCCAGGAAAUCAGUCUCUGGACUAAAUGGGAGUAAAUGGCAGCUAAGAAACAAGCGAAAAACAUCAUGCUUUUGCCUAGGACUUCUUUGGGUCAGUGAUUUCUUCUUUAAGAGUCCUGGUGAGUUCCACUAUAGUACAACCUACAACAACAACAACAACAACAACAAAACCCAGAAAGUACCUACAGCAAAUUCUCUCUUCCACUGACACCUAUUCUUGCCAUCAAAAGAAAAGGAUUCUUGCCAAGAAAAGGAUUACAGGACCUGGAGCAAGUCUAGAAUUGGCAAAAGUCUGUUUUUCUGAGGAUUCUUA
rnacentral:lncRNA from 1 species